CUUUUGGAGUUUAAAUUAUUUCUUGAAUCCAUGGCUUGAUGUCUUUCUUGUUUUAGAAAAAAAUUUGGCCAUAUGUCUUAAAAUAUUCUCACUCUUUUUUUUCCUUCUAGGACUUCAAUUAUAUAUAUGUUAAAAUCUUCCUGUGCUUAAGCCUGGGUCUUUACUACUGACCUACCUUUCAGUUCACUAGUACUCUCUUCAGCUAUGUCUAGUCUGCUCUUGAACUCAUCUCUUGCAUUUUAUUUUCAGUUUUCAAAGUUUUCUUGUUGUAGAAUUUCUAUUUGAUUUUUAGUUAUCUGUUGAAUUGUUCAUCUUGACUUUUUUUAAAAACUAUAUAUUACACACAGUUGUUUUGGUUUUACAUGUGAUAUCUCCAGUAUUUGUAUUUUCCAUAGGUUCAUUUCCAUUAACUACCAUUUCCCUUGUUGGUCUCUUCUAUUGGGUUUGCCUAAUAGGUUUUUGUUAAAAUUUUUUGAUUUUGCAUAUGAAAAAAUACAGACGUAAUUUGAUUCUGGGUCAUAUAAUCUUCCUUCAAGAGAGGUUUAUUUAUUUAUUUUUUUCCUGGAAUUCAGUUAGUACUUUCAAUGGUCUCAACUGGAAACCUUGGAUGUUUACCGUAGUCUCUUCUCUAUGGGGGCCUUGAACUUGAAUUUUUUUACUUCCUAGCCCUGUUAAGCUAAAAUUUUGCUGAGCUUCUCAGCCACUCAGAGGCUUCCUGCAAAGCAGCAAAUGCUUUGAAGGAAAAAGCGGAGCUAAGUGUCAGGCUUGUCUCUUUGUACUUCCCUCCGUAAGGAUCUUGAUUCCUCAUAUCCUUGCUUCCUCCAUGGCUCCCCAAUGUUUUCAAACAGAUUUUUUUGGUUCAUAAUUUAUCCAGCUUUCCCGGUCAUUCUUGGCAGUAGAAGUCAGUCCUGUACAAGUUAGUAUGUCAUCUCUGGAAUCAGAACCUCUUAUCAUGCUUUUCAAAUUGUAAUUUUUGAUGUACAUAUUUUAUCUUCACUAGUAGGUGGUAAACUCUUAGAAGACCAGUCUAUUUUCUACUUGUAACAUCUUUCCGUACAUAUAAUAUAUAUGUUACUGACUGAUUGAUUUAAUGAAUUUUUAUUGGGUGUCUCCCAAUCAAAAAAAAAAUACAAACUCAUUUUCUACAAGUGUUAAAAUUUCCCAUAAAGAUGCUAUUGAAGAGUUAUUGUGAUAGGUGAAUGUAGACUCAGAAAAGUGAGCCAGCUAAACUACAUCAAAGUUUUAAAAUAAUGUCAGAAAAGUCAGACACAGAAAUUCUGAAAACCUUGAACUCCCCAGGAUGUAUUCAUUCUACACGAAAUAGGUGUUCUGCUACUGACACUUUGAUCCAACAUCCUCGUGUUGUCAGAGUUCAGAAGCUUUAAGGCCUCAAAGUGCCCCUCUGAUUUUGAUCCAAAACCAUAAUCAGGUUUUGAUCCAUUGCAGAAAAGAGGUCUAAUCUCUAGAGUCCAGCAGCAUCCACAGCUCCAGAGGAACCAUAAAUGCAUCGACCAAAGGCCCAGACAGGGGCAAACAACUGAUAAAUGUGUUGCGGAAACCAUCUCUCCACUUCUUUCUUUCCUUUCUUCAAUUACUUGCUCUAAAAAUAUUUAUUUCUCCUUUUCUAGUCUUUUGAAUUAUGGUUUUUGUUACUGUUCUUUAAGAAAUAUUUUUAGUGUUUACUAGGAGCUAAAUACUAUGAAAGUACUGGGGCUGGGUAGAUGCAGACAGGGAUUUGAAAAGCAUUCAAAAAGAACACAUUUCCAGAAUAGGGGAGACAGGUUUUGUGUGUGUGUGUGUGUGUGUGUGUGUGUGUGAUAAAACCUGAGCCAUGUUCCAAAUUCCAGAUUGAAUCCUUACUGUGGAAAAUAUGUUCAUAGAAUGAACAACUGGAUUUCAAGAAAACUGUUGAAGUGUAGGUUCUGAUUGCCUUAUAAAGUUCUCAGAUUUGAGGGGCUUGUUAUUUAGGUCAAUGGAAGAUGGUAAAUUAGGCUCGCAGGAUUUGGCAAAGAUUAUUUCAGAAUAAAAAGGGAUGGAACCUGCACCACAGCAUUGACCUGGGGCCACUGAAGUGAACAACACCAGGUACUUAACCCACUGAGCCACAUAGGAACUCCCUAAAACAAGGGUCAAACCAUCUAAGAAAAUAUGGCAGAAGAGAGUCCUGAAAAUCUGAGCCAGGAGAGAGUGUGAUGGUUUUAUUUAUAAAUAAACCAUACUGGUUAUACAGCUUUAAACAAGUCAAAUGGAUUAUUUGGUAUGGUGGUUCCAUAAAUAAAAUGCUGGACCCACUGAGGACUGGCUCAACCAAAGUCUUCAUUUUACCAGGGAAGAAUAUGAUGGGCAACACGUCUCUUUCAAGUCAUUAGGGAAAUGGUUUUAACAUUUUAUAGCUGUCCUUACUGGAGAAUAUAAUAUUUUGAUAAUUAAUUGGUAACCCGUCAUCAAAUUAAUCUUUCUUCGUCUAGUAGUUAUUUAGUGAGAACACAUCUUAGUAGACUUUGGUGCGGAGGAGCCUAACUGAAAGAUACUCACUGUAUUAUUUAGAAUCGUUUUGAUUGCUAUUAACAGAAAGCCCCCAAGUAAUAGGUAGUACAGGAGUUCCCGUAAUGGCUCAGGGGAAACAAAUCUGAGUAGUAUCCAUGAGGACGCAGGUUCGAUCCCUGGCCUUGCUCAGUGGCUCAAGCAUCCAGUGUUGCCGUGAGCUGAUGUGGCUCAGAUCUGGUGUUGCUGUGGCUCUGGCUACAGCUCCGAUUCAACCCCCAGCCUGGGAACCUCCAUAUGCCGCGGGUGCAGCCCUAAAAAGACAAAGAAGAAAAAAGAAAAGAAAGGACACAAUAGAAGGGGCAAAGCAUGGGUCCAGUUUUGAAAAACUUUAAUUAUUAUUAUUUCAGUCUCCAUAGAAAAAAAGUUAAAUUUUGCAUACAAUUUUGAUAUUACACAUCGAGUGCAAUCCAGGAUAUAUAAGGGAGGAAAAAAAAAACCCUCAAGAAAUUCACUGCUAUAUGGGAUAGUUUCAAAUUUUUGUUUGCAUAUCCACUGACUGCUAUUUACUUUCCAGAGUUCUCAGAUAAUUCCUUUACAUUUUUUGACCAGGAGAUAAGGUAGCGUGUGCUCACUCCUCAAGUGGAAUCAGAAACCUGUCAGUUAUUUUUAAAGAAAUUUUCAGCCUCAAGCUUACAUAGCAUCCACACUUACAUGUCCCUGACCAAAUGGUCAUACCCAUCCGAAAAGUUAUGCAACAUAUGCCCAGCCAAAAAGUAGAGGCUCUGUCAUCGUGCAAGAAUGGAAAAAUAGAUAUGGAGGGAAAGCUAUUAAUUUCUGCACUACUCCUUUUAUUUUCAAAACUCUGAAGGUCUAAUAGGGUACACAGACAUAUAAAUUAUGUGCUAUAGGAAUUCCUGUCAUGGCUCAGCGGAAACAAAUCUAACAUCCGUGAGGAUGCAGGUUCGACCCCUGGCCUCACUCAGUGGGUUAAGGAUCCAGCAUUGCUAUGAGCUGUGGUGUAGGUUGCAGGCAUGGCUCAGAUCUCACAUUGCUGUGGCUGGGGUGUAGGCCGGCAGCUACAGCUCCAGUUUAACCCCUAGCCUGGGACCCUCCAUAUGCUGUGGGUGUGUCCCUGAAAAGAUAAAAAAAAAUUAAAAAAUAAAUCCUGUGUUACAUUAUUAUAUUAUAAUCUGUAAGAGGUUUAUUUUUGUGAGCAUAUUUUCCACAUUAGUGCCUCCAGAGUCUGGAGCUCUUUGAGGGUAGUCAUGUAGUCCCAAAACUUUUGUAAUAUUUUGAAGAACUUCACAAAAGUCAUAUGUUUACCUUUAAUUAGUUUCCAAAGAUUAGUGAAGCAUUAUGCUUCUUUCCUUUGGUUAGAAUUCUGUCAAGUCAAUGAGUAAUUUUAGCUUUCUUAUCCUAAUUAGAAGUUUAGAUUCAAUGUAAAAUUUCUCAGUUAUCAAAAUGUAAAACAAAUUGCUUUUUCCUUAAUAGGUGCAUUAUAGUAGACAAUACCUUUCAAAACAUGGGACCUUCAUGUUGAUAGAUUUUAUUUGUCUAGAUUCUUUUGGCAGCAAAUAACAAAAGAGCAAAAACACGGUUCUGUUUUUAGUUUCUCUGAAACAAAAGGGGGAAGGGGGCAUUUAUUGACUCAUGUCAUCAGGAAAAAACAUACUGGAAUGGCAUCAUUCAUGAUUUCUUUGAGGGUUCAAAAGGUCACCAACCAGAUAGAUAGCUUUUUAUCUCUCUAUGCAACAUGGGCAUUUUUCUCACUGAAGGGAAGAUUAUUGGCCAGGUAGGCUGUUACCAUACCUUUGUAGCAACAUCACUGGGAAGUUAGUUCCCUUCUCCCAGAAUCUGUUCAUUAAUAACAGGAAAAGGAUCUGAUUAUCUUUGCUUGGGAUCGAUACCCAUUCCAAACCAAUCACCAUGGUCGAGAUCAUAUAGUACAAAUUUGGUUCAUCCUGGAUAGCAGAUCCUCUCAUAUGAUCGUGUUUUUUUUACUGGAUGAAGGGACAUAAAGGGGAAAGAAAAGAUAUGUGUUGGGAAAAGAAAAAUAACAGCUAUUUAACCUUAAUAUGGAGUGCAAUAAAAACCAAAUAUUAUACCUGAGGUAAUUUUAUCUUUUGGUUGAGUAUCCUAUUUUUCUUCAGUUCCAUCCUUGUAUCAUCCAUCAAGCUUUUCCUUUGAGAAGGAUAACAAUCAGAGAAGUUUCUGCAGUUAUCACUUACAGUAGUAUACUCUAAACUUAAUGUUCUUUCUGUCAGGAAUUCUGUAUUGUCACUUUGUGUCCCCAAGUCAGGAAUAUUUUCUAUCCUUAUAGCAAGAAAAGAAAUCUCAACUUUAUUUUAGCCAUAGGUGGUAUAGAUCUGAAAGCUCUUUAUUUUUUCUCUAUCCCUUAGCCACAUUCCAGCUGUGACAUAGAUAACCUAGCACCAGGCUUGAGUAUUAAUUUGAAAUAUUAUACUUUUUUACUUUAAAAGAUGUCCCAAACCAUUUUUAUUUAAACUUUUCAAUUGUCAGUAAAUAUUUGCUAAAUAAAUGCAUUUUAGGAGUUCCCAUCGUGGCGCAGUGGUUAACAAAUCUGACUAGGAACCAUGAGGUUGCAGGUUCGAUCCCUGGCCUUGCUCAGUGGGUUAAGGAUCCUGCGUUGCCGUGAGCUGUGGUGUAGGCCAGCAGCUACAGCUCCAAUUAGACCCCUAACCUGGGAACCUCCAUAUGCCAUGGGUGCGGCCCUAGAGAUGGCAAAAAGACAAAAAUAAAUAAAUAAAUAAAUAAAUAAAUGCAUUUUAAAUGACUAACCUAAUAAAUAUUUUUCAUUCAGAAUAUCAAAUAUUAAAGACAUUUUUGUCUUUUGGGGGGCUCUUAUGAUUUUCCCCUCUGUACAUGUAACGUUUAUGAUGCAUGUUUCAUCCUAAGUUUAAAAUGUAAUGCAGAAUUUUUGGAAAGGAGUAUUCCUGACAGUUGCCUCAAUUUUUAAAACUCAAAUGCAUUUCUCACUGUUUUGUCCUUUUCCCAUCAUUUUAGAACCUAUCCAGCACCAAGGCCUCUAAGAUUCUCAAUUCUCAAUGUGUUUUUUCCUGUUGAUGAAGCCAAACCGCAAACAAUGCAUGCUUAGAAACAAAUUUUACUCCUUAACUCUUGAUAAUGACUGAAUUAAUACUCCUUCAUUCACACCUACUCAUUCUUUCCUGUUUCUUUUUUACCACCAUGACCUUCACUCUAAAUAUGUAAUACUGGAGUUCCCAUCAUGGCACAGUGGUUAAUGAAUCCGACUAGGAACCAUGAGGUUGCAGGUUCGAUCCCUGGCCUUGCUCAGUGGGUUAAGGAUCCGGCAUUGCCAGUGAACUGUGGUGUAGGUUGCAGACGAGGCUUGGAUCCCGUGUUGCUGUGGCUCAAGUGCAGGCUGGCAGCUACAAUUCCAAUUACACCCUAGCCUGGAAACCUCCAUAUGCCACAGGAAGUGGCCCUAGAAAAGGCAAAUCAAUCAAUCAAUCAAUAAAUAUGUAAUAUUGUUUUUCCUAGUUCACUUGUACAUUUCCUAGUUCAUUUGAAAAAAAAAGGAUAACUUUUUUUUCUUCCAGUUUUGAGAUAUAAUUGACAUAAAGCACUGUAUAAUUUUAAAGUUUACAGCAUAAUGAUUUGACUUACAUGAAUCAUGAAAUGAUUAAAAUAUGUUAAAUGAACAUCUGUCAUCUCAUAUAGACACAAAAUAAAAGAAAAAGGAAAACAAUAAUUUUUCCUUGUGAUGAGAACGCUCAGGAUUUAGUCUCUUAAUAACUUUCAUAUAUAGCAUGCAGUAGUGUUAAUUACAAUUAAUCUUGGCAUGUAUUAUAUCCCUUAUAUCCCUAAUGCUUAUUUAUAUUAUAAGUGAAAGCUUGUACCUUCAACCAGCUUUAACUAAUUCCUUCUCCCGCCAUCCACACCCCUGGUAACCACAAAUCUCAUCUCUUUUCCUAUGAGUUUCUUUGUUUGAAGUACAACCUACAACACUAUGUUGAUUCCUAGUGCACAACAUAGUGAUUUGGUAUUUCUCUACAUUUCAAAAUG
rnacentral:lncRNA from 1 species